CCUACGGGGGGCUGCAGUGGGGAAUAUUGGACAAUGGGGGCAACCCUGAUCCAGCCAUGCCGCGUGUGUGAAGAAGGCCCUCGGGUUGUAAAGCACUUUCAGUGAGGAAGAACGCCUGGUGGUUAAUACCCAUCAGGAAAGACAUCACUCACAGAAGAAGCACCGGCUAACUCCGUGCCAGCAGCCGCGGUAAUACGGAGGGUGCGAGCGUUAAUCGGAAUUACUGGGCGUAAAGCGCGCGUAGGUGGCUUGAUAAGCCGGUUGUGAAAGCCCCGGGCUCAACCUGGGAACGGCAUCCGGAACUGUCAAGCUAGAGUGCAGGAGAGGAAGGUAGAAUUCCCGGUGUAGCGUUGAAAUGCGUAGAGAUCGGGAGGAAUACCAGUGGCGAAGGCGGCCUUCUGGACUGACACUGACACUGAGGUGCGAAAGCGUGGGUAGCAAACAGGAUUAGAUACCCCGGUAGUC
rnacentral:rRNA from 1 species